UGCUUGGUCUUGAGCCGAACAGGUGGCUUCUAGUCUGGUGGCUUCGGGGAUGUUGACCGUAAAGGUGGAUGAGUGGUGUUUGGUUUGUUACGUGUGGUUGGCUGCGGCGUUUGCAACAACUUCCAUGCUUUCAGACCUCUUCAGUUGUGCGGCAAGGCUUGUAUCGCCUUGAGCGUAUUGUGGGUUUUCUGUGUUGAAUACCUAAUCAAUGGUAUCGGUUGGAUUGAUCAAAGUUUCAUUUCGUCUUCCGUCGCGCUUGCGACGUGAGGUGAACCUCGAUGCGGUCUCUUUGAUCCACCUCGUUGAAGCACAUGCUUCGACGUUGUGGCACAUUGAGCAUUGCUUGGUCUCUUGUAUACGGAACAUAUAGUGGGCAUGGAUCUAACGAUUCUCGUUUGCCCUCAUAUUAGCGUAUCGCUUCUCUAAUGCGACUCGUGCUACGCCUUGGCUCGUCCGGGCGUGGUGCUA
rnacentral:misc_RNA from 1 species